rnacentral:lncRNA from 1 species
GACGACUUUUGCGAGACGAGAACGCCGGCGACCGUGAAACCGUCGCGUCGACGACGUCAACGCAUCGGGCGAUAUAAUUGUCCAUCGCGACGGUGCGAUAAAACACGCGAAAUGUUGUUUAACGCUCGGCGUAUGCGUCAGUACGCGCGUGUGCAUACGUAUAUGUGUGGAUCCAGAAGAGCCUCGUGCCCGACAAACGUAAUGUUUUCGCGUGAAAUUGGCGCAAUAUCGCCGUUCAAGUUGACGUUAACAGCGCAAACACGCGACAUUUCACGUACGUAAUUCAGUACGUAGUUAUUAUAUUUGCUGGAGUUCGCCGGCCAUAUUUAUCGACGAUUCAGUAUUCUAUUCUCGUUGUUGAUUUUGCGUGGUUUCUCUCUAAGAUCAAUAUCCAAAAUCUAAACUUGUUCUAAAAUCUAAAACUCUAAAUUCUAAAACAAAGAUCGCGUUAUUUGAAAAAUAUCUCUCUUGGAUUACCUAGCGAUUAUUAUUUAUUGAUUUAUUUUUUCGAUUGAUCGAUGCGGCUGUUAUUGGCUAUUUCUCGCCGGUAUGUUUCAUUUCGGACGCAUAUUCCAUAAACCAUAUUAACUACCUAAUUGAUUCGCAGUGAAAUUGCGUAAUUCCACUGACGUAAUGACGCUGUCAUCUUUAAAACGCGGUUGAGCCGCAAAUUCGAGUCUCCAUGCCAAUGACGGCGAUAUUGCCACCCUACGGUCCGGUUAAAAUAAUCGAACGUGAGUUGAGAACCAUCAACUAUGUAUUUUAUUAAUAAUUGCGGAAUGUCGCGAGCGUGCACGUCGUGACUCCACCGGUUGUUAAAGAGGCAAGAAGACCAGCAGAGAAGAGGCAAAGCAAGGGAAGAGCGAGAGAAAGACAAAGAGAGAGAAAGAGAGGAGGGGGCUGAGAGGGAGAGAGCUGUCACACUGUCCAUCAAGAGGGAUGUCGGGGGUGGCGAAGGAGUAAUAAUAGCGCCGAUAAUACACGACUCGGCUCUGAGGAUCUGGACGUUCGGAAUCGCCGACCAACGAGCGGGUGUCUUCGUCCUUCUUCAUUUUACAGCGAACACUUUCCUCUCUUUCUCUCUUCUCAGGUUUUCUCUUUCUCUCUCUGUCUCCCUCUCUUUCUCUCUUUCUCCGACCGUCUCCUCGAUCUCCGUUCCGUCUUUUCGCUCGCUCUCGUGCGUGCAACACGUCUGAGGUGGGUGGCCUCGGAUUGAACGAACAAUAGUACACGUGUAGUCGUCAUGCCAAACUGUCGUGUUGCCUCAAACGAAACAACGAAAUACGGUUCGAUGCCUCCCGCUACCUCCUAUUCGCUGUAAGCUGAAGAUCAUUAUUUGCGAUUAGUCUAAUCAAAUGAGGUGCCUCGCGGAUUGAAUGUCUGAUGUGAAUGUUUGUCGAGUCACGCGUGAGAAACUUUCAUUCUCUCUUUAACACUUUUUUCUCACGAGAUUUAUACAACUAUAUGAAAAUUAUAAAUUAUCCGCAAAUCGUACUCUAAGUUCAUGUUCGCUUUCCUCGCUCAUCUUUUCUUGCGUCACUAUGUAACUGUGCAAGCACACGCGCGAACGAUGAUUUGCAAGUAUCAGACAAAUCAAAUUGUCAUGUUGCAUUUGCGGAAACAACAGAGCCCGUCAGCUUCAUGUGCAUGUUCCUUUCUGUCUAGCUUGUUCUUCCAACUGUUCUUCGGACAGAAAUUGUCUUGAAAUUGGAUCUUCUUCAUUCAGGAGGAAAAUGAAUGUCUUAUUAUAUAAUAUAUCGUCAUAAUCUUUAGCUCAAGUUAUGUGUCCGCUCCUUUUAGUGUAUACAAUAAUUUUUAAUAAUCCAUUUUCGUUAGAUUGACAGAAGUGUAUACAAAGAGACCUAUACAAUAUCCAUUCUCGUCAUGAAUGAUUUUAUCGAGCUCGUGGAUUCUCUACGAAGAUGCUAUAGUACGAAUCCCUAAUAUUAGUUGCACAAUGGUAUUCAUGGAGAAUAAAUUGGAUCAAUCAAAGUUCCAACGCAAUGAAGAGCACCGCUAAGGUCAUCGUAUGGUGCCACAUGCAUAUUCUUGUGAGACACAACGACGCCAGCAGAAUGCAGAGGCGGCGAACCCUAGACGACGACGACGACAACGACGAUGGGCGACGGCAACAACGAAGACAACGACGACGAAGACGACGACGACGAUCACGACGACGAUGAGGCGGUAGACGACGACGAAGACCACGUCGACGCCUCGUCCACGGCGACAGCGGCUGACGUCAAAUAUGCGAAGAGCCGAAGAACUCUCAUGCACGGUUAUGUAACCGCGCAUGAAACUAAUAUAUCAGAGUUGUCCGGCGUUUGUGGCAAACUUAGACCGCGCGUCUCGAGCCAAGCCCUCUCUUUCUCGCUUUAUCUCGGCGUUUUGAUACUUGAUGAACAAGGAAGAGUUUGACAGUUCAACAGCACUUAUUUGUGAACAUAAUAUGUUGCACGUUCGUAUACGUGACCAAUUAUCGUAUUUACGGCGUCUUUCUUUGUGAGCUUAAAUCGAUUAAGCAACGGCGUGAGAUCAAAGUGCACGCUGAAUCCUGAAUGUAAUUUAAAGAAUAAGUUAUACUUCAUAUUUUGAACUAUCUUGAACAUAUUAAUCAUCUCGUCUAGGCUUAUUGAAUCGUUCAAAAGUUACUUGUACAUAUCAGAAAUGUAGUUUCUACUUAAGUGCAUCAGCGCGUAGAAUUAUGGUCGCCAGGCGCAACGAAGAAUUGCACGAGACAUCAAUAAAUAAGACCUCUUCUCUCGCCGGCGAUUUUGACAGAAGCCCGGGGAGAAGAAGAAUUUUUUCCCGCUCAGACCGACGAAAAAGAGCGAGCAUCUGUUGCCCCCCCAAAAAGUCUUGGUCGCUCCAGACGUGGUUCUCCUCCCUCGACGUGCCAUUCCUGUACUUUUUCGUUCUUCCGCCCCGAGCCAGCCAAUAUUGUUCGCACGAAACGAUGCGUCCGCCGUUCUUUUUCUACGGCGACCGGGGUAAGAUGUUUAGUCUGACCGAGCAGCGGGUUCGCGAGACUUUGCGGAGUCAAAAAAGAAGAGAAAAGCAUAGAAUGAAAAAAAGAACAGGUACAUUGCUCAUCUAAACGGAAAUACAGUUUCUUUGAUGAAGAUAACAAUAAAAUUGCAAUUCCGAAAAUGCGAUUUACUUGACAACUUGAUUUUGCUAAAGAAUAUUAAUUGUGGGACAUUUGAGGAAGAAAGAUCUAGUUUAUCAAGCAGAAACAUAUUAACGCAGCAAUACAAACAACAGUAAAAUACUAAAUGUAUAUCCGCAGAGUAUCAAGUGUAAACCUAACUGGAUACUUAGCUGUUAUAUUAGACCUAAGAACCCGCGACGGAAAACUUUAUGUAGCCGCUAACAGGCUACGUAACGCGGCAGCCUUGCGCAUUACAUAACUCAAUAUUGUCCGCGAGGCGUUUGCGUAUUGCAGAUAGCAAGCGCAGCUCGUAAUGUCUCCCGUGACAACUUCCGCGCGUAUAUUUCGAACGGGAGAGACCGCUUUAGCUGAGCGUGCUGCAACACGCCGACGAAUUCAGAGAAGCAUACUGUCGUCGCGUGCGGCUAGAUUGGCUCUCCUUUCUCGAUUUUAGGGUGUGCCCGAUGAGGUUGCCAAUGCAUGGCUGUCGCAUAGAACGCGCUUUCUCGCAACGUGCACGCGCGCUCGAAGUUGUGCGUGCGCGUGUCACUUCCAUUGUCAGCGAGACGCACGCGUGUCAUAGGCGUGUGACAUAUUACGUGCGCAAGAUUUACCGACGACACCCACACGGCAGAUGAGUCGCAUGAUACAACCGUCAGAGAUUCCGCCGCGUUUCCGGCUCGCGUCUGCGCGAGGAGCGAGAAGGGAGGGAAAGGACGAUGAAUCCUUGUAAUUAAGAAAGAAGUUACUUGCAAAUUAGUUUCUGCGAUUUUCUCUUUUUCAGAGAAUUUCAAGCAAAUGUCCAAAAAGUGACCGAAAAGAUCUAGUAAGCGGCAGCAAUUAGUAUCUUUAAUAAUUAAAAUAAUAAUAAUUUUUAAUAAUUUAAUAAUUUGUCCCUUUGAGAAUCGUAUUAUACGAUAUACUGAUUGACUCUUCGCACUGAAAGGAAUCCAUGACUGAGAAUAGAGAAACCUCGGCACAGGUGCUUUGGCAAGUGGACAAUUAAACGAGCAUGUGUAAUUGCGCUAUGAGUGAAACGCACAAGAGGCGCGACUUCACGCACUUACUUGCGAAGAGUGUCGGGUCGCGUCGCGUCACGUCACGUCGCAUCGGCCACUUUGUGAACACAAUGGUCCGAGAUGCAAUGCAAUUAACGUGGCAUACGGCGGUGCAACGCGGGGAAUCGUCAAAAUUAGUAAACAGCGACGAAUUCACCCACACAUGGCAGACGCGCUCAGCCGCGCGGAGCGCGCCGUCUCGAAAUAGAUUACGUUAAAUGGAUCGUGGCCGCUUGGACAAUGAGAGUGUGAAGUCAAUUAACUCCGUUAACAUUGCUGCUUGAACACCUGAAAGUGACGAUACCGAUUGCAUUCGACGGCGGAAUCAACGCAUAUUGAGCAAAUAUGUACCUUCUAAUAAGUGUACUAUAAAUAUAUUCAUAUAUGUCAUAUCGCAUAUAUAAAUAAUAUAUAUUUCACAUAUAAAAAGAUAUAUAUGCAAUAUGAUAUGAUGCAUAUUAAACGUAUUACAAAUUAUUGUUAAUUAUAAUUAUUGUACUUUGAAUAUUGAAUAUUGUAUGUAAUGAUUUCAUAAACUUCUUCCUUUCUCUCUUGUUUUUUUCUGCUAUUAAUAGAUAUCAACAGAUUAUCCGCUGAAGGAAGAAAGAUUUAACGACACACUGAAGCUAAUAGCGAAGAUCAGUGUUGCAAUAUUGGCGAGACGUUUAGCGUAAUUACUGGCUCAUCAGCGUAAUCAUGUAUUAGCAGACUGCCGCGUGAAUAUGUUAACGCGGUGAAUACAAAAAUACCCGUUAUAUAAUACGUUUCGUCGUAAAAGAAGACACCGCGUUCAAGAUGAGACAAGAAAUUAUGCAGAUUCUUUCGUUUAAAUGGAGGAACGUUAUAUCAUGAUUAAAUUUCGGCUAAUCUGUAAAAUUAUGAAUAAAACUGGUACGCUUGAAAAUGGAA